CCUACGGGAGGCUGCAGUGAGGAAUAUUGGUCAAUGGCCGGAAGGCUGAACCAGCCAUGCCGCGUGAAGGUCAGUGCCCUAUGGGCGUUAAACUUCUUUUGUGCGGGAGCAAUAAUGGUCACGUGUGGCCAGACGAGAGUACCGUACGAAUAAGCAUCGGCUAACUCCGGGCCAGCAGCCGCGGUAAUACGGGGGAUGCGAGCGGUAUCCGGAUUUAUGGGGUUUAACGGGUGCGUAGGCGGACGGUUAAGUCAGCGGUAAAAGCCCGGGGCUCAACCCCGGCGAGCCGUUGAAACUGGCUGUCUUGAGAUGUCGAGAGGUAUGCGGAAUGCGCAGGGUAGGGGUGAAAGGAGUAGAGAUUGCGCAGAACUCCGAUUGCGAAGGCGGCAUACCGGCGGCGAUCUGACGCUGAGGCACGAAAGCGUGGGUAUCGAACAGGAUUAGAUACCCUUGUAGUC
rnacentral:rRNA from 1 species